GCCCCGAUGGUGUAGUUGGUUAUCACGUGGGUCUCAUAUUCGUCAGUCUGAUCCGACUCUUUGCUCGCUUGCGAGCGGGAGGACGGUCAGGCUGCACUGAGAUACGACCGAGAGCGCCUUGCGCUUGCAAUCCCGAGGUCAGCAGUUCGAUCCUGCUUCGGGGCA